UAGUUUGUUGAUAUGUUUUUU
rnacentral:piRNA from 1 species